rnacentral:rRNA from 1 species
AUUGAACGCUGGCGGCAUGCUUUACACAUGCAAGUCGAACGGUAACAGGCCGCAAGGUGCUGACGAGUGGCGAACGGGUGAGUAAUGCAUCGGAACGUGCCCAGUCGUGGGGGAUAACGCAGCGAAAGCUGUGCUAAUACCGCAUACGAUCUGUGGAUGAAAGCGGGGGACCUUCGGGCCUCGCGCGAUUGGAGCGGCCGAUGUCAGAUUAGGUAGUUGGUGGGGUAAAGGCUCACCAAGCCGACAAUCUGUAGCUGGUCUGAGGGGACGACCAGCCACACUGGGACUGAGACACGGCCCAGACUCCUACGGGAGGCAGCAGUGGGGAAUUUUGGACAAUGGGCGCAAGCCUGAUCCAGCAAUGCCGCGUGCAGGAAGAAGGCCUUCGGGUUGUAAACUGCUUUUGUACGGAGCGAAAAGGCUCCCUCUAAUACAGGGGGCUCAUGACGGUACCGUAAGAAUAAGCACCGGCUAACUACGUGCCAGCCGCCGCCGUAAUAC